rnacentral:rRNA from 1 species
GAUGAACGCUAGCUACAGGCUUAACACAUGCAAGUCGAGGGGAAACGGCAUUGAGUGCUUGCACUCUUUGGACGUCGACCGGCGCACGGGUGAGUAACGCGUAUCCAACCUUCCCAUUACUGUGGGAUAACCUGCCGAAAGGCAGACUAAUACCGCAUAGUCUUCGAUGACGGCAUCAGAUUUGAAGUAAAGAUUUAUCGGUAAUGGAUGGGGAUGCGUCUGAUUAGCUUGUUGGCGGGGUAACGGCCCACCAAGGCGACGAUCAGUAGGGGUUCUGAGAGGAAGGUCCCCCACAUUGGAACUGAGACACGGUCCAAACUCCUACGGGAGGCAGCAGUGAGGAAUAUUGGUCAAUGGACGGAAGUCUGAACCAGCC